rnacentral:tRNA from 1 species
AAUUAGAAGCAAAGUUUGUAAUUAGUUUCGACCUAAUAUUUAGUAAAUAAAAUAUUUACCUAAUUA